GGAAUAAGUACAUACUUUUAAUAGGCUCCUUGAGUCCUGCCUUGGUGUGCAAUGCUUUUGAAAACUUUUAUCUCCUGAAUCGCCCAGCAGUGGUGUAUACUAAUUUUAAAAGGAAGGUAUCUUUUGUUGUCUGGAUUCCUGGAGUACAGCUGAUCCUGGACAGUAGACCUGUGCUGUGGUCAGAAAUUUGGAUACAUGAUUAGGAAUACCUGUAGCCUGGUGUGAGGCCCCCUGCCUGAGCUCAGCAACCCAGGAGGGAUGCUCAGCAGAACAGUAACCAAGACAGUGGAACUCCACCCAUCCUCCUUCUGCGGCCAGGACUGAGGUGCAUUCCCUUCGAUCAAUCUGCCUGAGUGUCUGGUUGGCUGUUUCAAACUGCAUCUGAGCCCUUCAGACAGCCCUUUGUGGAAACUUUGAACAAACCCAUUGACACUUAAAAUUACAAUAAAAUAAUAUAAGCUGAUA
ensembl:lncRNA